GGAAAAUAUAUAAAAAUAUAUAUUUAUAAAGGAGGAAACACAAAAUGAUAGGAAACUGAAAUUUUUCUCAUAGAACUUGCAAACAAGAUCUAUAGACAAAAACAUAAUCAUCGAUCAAAAAUGAUCUACAUCAUCAUUCAAGGAACAACACUAACAGAGCACCCUACAGGAAUCAUAAAACCAACACAACUCACAAGCAAACAACAAAGCCAGAACUACUACUUCCUAAUUCCUCCAGUUCCCGUCAGAUGCACCACCACCCCUUGAGUAACGAGAUCCACCAUCACCAUAUCCACGGUCCCGACCCCCACCGUAACCACCACCGCCAUAUCCACCACCUCCGCGGUUGUAACCACCACCGUAUCCACCUUCACGUCGUCCGCCACCACCACCAUAGCCGCCACCGCUGCCGCCACGGCUGUAUCCACCGCCACCACCUCCGCUUCCGCGGGAUUGAGCUUCGUUAACGGUAAUGUUACGGCCGUCGAGAUUCUGACCGUUCAUUCCUUCAAUAGCAUCUCUCAUCGACUUCUCGUUGUUGAAGGUCACGAAUCCAAACCCGCGAGAUCUGCCAGUCUCUCUAUCAUUGAUGAUCGAUUUGAGGUUAGUAACAUAAAAGAACAGUAACACAGAUUAUAGUAACACAAACAGAUCACAGAUUUUGGAUCGACAAAGCCGAACGGGGUCGGUCAGAUCCGAUCUCUGCGACUACGCAAACCGACCUUCGAUUCAAGGAUCUCGCCAAAGGGACUAAAGGCCUCCUGGAGGGCUUGGUCGUUUGUGGCCCAGGCAAGGCCGCCGACAAAGCACCUGUACUCUAUCUCUGUAGACGCCAUAGGGUUUAGAAAAAGGAUUGAAAAAGAAACCCUCAAGAGGAAACUAGGGUUAUAGCAAAGUAAAGGAUGAGAUC
rnacentral:misc_RNA from 1 species